AAUGUAAAUCUAAUCAGCCUUUAGAAUUUAAAGGCUUAAAAAAGACUAAAGAAAAGUAACAACCAAAUGCAAUAUGUAGAACUUAUAUGGAGCCUGAUUCGAACAUCAAGUAUAAAGAGAUAUUUUUGAGAAAAUUGAGAAAUUUUAAAACAUGAAAUUAGUAUUAUAUGAUAUUGAAGACUGCUGCUUUUUCAAGACAUGUCCUCAAAUUUAUUUUACAUUCCUUCCAUACUAACUCUUCUCCUUGCAUGUAGACAGACUUGUGGCUGCUUUCAAUGACUUCUGAAAUUAGGUCAUUAAAAGUCAUACAUUCUUUGGCUAGUAAUCUUGGGUUACUCACUCAUGAGAGGCCAAGCUUUAUCUAGGAAGUUCAACUACUCGAGACUGUCAUGCUGCUGCUAUGUUCCGGGUACUGGGCUCUGGUCUUUUGGUGACUCCUGGCCACUAGACUUUUCUGCAGUUGUCCUGGGGAUUGAACAGAAGGUAUUUCUGGGAAGAAAACGCUGGGGUUGAGGAUGAGAGUGCAAGAUCCUGCAGGUAGAGAUGACCUAGGAGAAAGGCUGGUGGAAAAGUCUGAGGAGGUGACAAGUUUGGAAGAUCACCGGCAGAGGUGACAAAGUUACUAAAUGUGCAAGGCCUCAUAGCUUAGAUAGCAGCUGGCUUGUACUGCAUCCAGCAAAUGGACCUACACACCUCUCUACAAGUGUAUAUAGACUUCCAAAGAAUAUUUAAAUCCUUUAACAAAAAUGCCACCUAAGAAAAUAUGAAAUACUUCAGUCUGUCUGUCAGUGCUCACUUCCUGUCUAGAAACUUUCAGGCUCCGGCACAAAUGAACCAUGUUCUUCGCCUAAGUCAUUUAUGGAACAUCUGCUUUCGGUUUAGCAUCAGGGGAAACAAAGCAAAGAAGAAUGACACUGAAGAAUCAAAAAAAAAAAUGAGCAUAAGACCCAUGAAGAUUACAGACACAUACACUCCUAAAAUUAAACAUUAAGCGGAAUAAAAAUAAUCCCAGA
ensembl:lncRNA LINC00971 long intergenic non-protein coding RNA 971